rnacentral:rRNA from 1 species
AUGACUAUAAACAAAAGCCAGGGGCAAUCCCUCAAAAAGGUUGGACUAUACUUACAAAGGCAAGUGUUCACACAUGGACAACUCUAUGUUGCAAUGUCAAGGGUGACCAGCAGAAAUGGAUUGAAGAUCCUCAUAUCAGAUGAAGAUCGUCCGCCCGACAAGGUUGCAAAAAACAUUUUUUUACAAGGAUAUAUUAUAGAUAUUUGGUUUCUAACAGCUAUAGUUAUAAACAAUUACAACCAUUCUUAUCUGACUAAAAAAUUAUCAGGACAUAGCAGCCUUAUUUUUUUCAAAUUGUUAUCUCUGAAAUAUUUUAUCAGGACGAAAUUUAUUUAA